rnacentral:rRNA from 1 species
GCAGUCGACGAGACCUUCGGGUCUAGUGGCGCACGGGUGCGUAACGCGUGGGAAUCUGCCCUGGGGUACGGAAUAACUCUCCGAAAGGAGUGCUAAUACCGUAUGAUGACGUAAGUCCAAAGAUUUAUCGCCCUGGGAUGAGCCCGCGUAGGAUUAGCUUGUUGGUGAGGUAAAGGCUCACCAAGGCGACGAUCCUUGGCUGGUCUGAGAGGAUGAUCAGCCACACUGGGACUGAGACACGGCCCAGACUCCUACGGGAGGCAGCAGUGGGGAAUAUUGGACAAUGGGCGAAAGCCUGAUCCAGCAAUGCCGCGUGAGUGAUGAAGGCCUUAGGGUUGUAAAGCUCUUUUACCCGGGAAGAUAAUGACUGUACCGGGAGAAUAAGCCCCGGCUAACUCCGUGCCAGCAGCCGCGGUAAUACGGAGGGGGCUAGCGUUGUUCGGAAUUACUGGGCGUAAUGCGCACGUAUGCGGCUUUGUAAGUUCUAGGUGAAAGCCUG